CAGACAUGCCUCUUUGACACAGCAGAAACACAAACAGAGUCAGCACUGGAGAAUGUCACAGAACAGGUUGGUUCUUCCAGGUUUUUCUGUCUGUGUUUGCUGCAUGAUCACAUGGAAAAAAGCCGAGUCUUUGCCACAGAGUCAGGAGGACAGUGGUGUUAUCUGAUGUGGAUUCUUAAGAGACUUUCCAUAAGGGUAUGUGUUGUGUAAAUGUUCAUUAUUAGCAGUCUCGGGUUUAAGCUCGGCACAGACGACACGGAACGUCAACCGAAACAUUUGCUCAGUCUGACUGUGGAGAGCACUCGCGGUCAGCAAUGGGUGGCUCCACCUCAAAGAGAGCCCUUUUUUGGCCAAAGAAGAAGAAAUCUCCUCUGAAAAAGACCUGGAGUCAACUGAAGAGGGUGCUGCCUCAUAAGAAACGCAAGAAGAACGCUCUGUCGCUGGAAAAACUGAGUGUGAAAAAGUCGAGGAAGGACAAGCAUUCCAAGAAGAAACCGUCACUGAUAGCAAACAAGAAAGUGCCGACAUUGCUGAAAAGACUCUCUGUGGAUAACACAAAAAAAGAGACGAGUCAAACUGAUUCACCGGGAAGGAAGGAGAAGGACAAAGGGGGGCUGGAAAGAGUAGGAGAGCAAAUAAAAAAGAAAUUUUCCAAGGAUGAGAAGAAAGACAUUAUCAGUCAGACAGACACUGUUCCUCUUGCUGAGGAAAAUAAGGCAAAUGACCCAACAAGCGACACAAAGGUGCCUAAAAAGAAACUCAGUGUGAUCAUAAGAUCCAUUCAUCCAGCUGCAAACAGAUAACAACCACCUCGAAUCUGACAGGAAGAUGUGACAACUCUGCAAACAGGCCACAGGACAGUCAGGAAGAUACACGUUUUUAAUGACGUCACUCAGAGAGCAGAUUAUAACGGCAACAGUGUUACAGCCAUGAACGCUUCUUCUUUUAAACAUGUCAGCUUCCCCCAAUGUCAAUAUUAAUCCGCUGCAAUAUUUUACUCAAAAGCUUUAUUCACACUUUACUCAGCAAUAAAAACGUGUGUGGAUUAUCAUCCUA